AUCCAGUUGACGAGUCCCAAAUAGGACGAAGCGCCCGUCAAACUUGAU
rnacentral:hammerhead_ribozyme from 1 species